rnacentral:lncRNA from 1 species
AUGUUGUAAAUGAGUGAAAUUUCUGCAAUUACUCUUAUUUUGAAGAAAGUAUUAAUGUUUGCACCCAUGUGUGUGUGGAGCACAGAAGCAAGACAGAAACUAGAAUGAUUUCAUACUUCGUAACGGAGACCUUUGCAACUAUGAAAGUUACGUCUCUGCUCCCUAAAAACUACUGCCUACUCUCCCCAUUUCAAGAGAAAACUAUAGAUGUGACUUGCUCCUCCUUGCCUUCUGCAUGAUUGUGAGGCCUGCCCAGCCAUGUGGAACUCUCCAACUAUAACUUCUCCUGACAGACUGUGGAGAGAAAAGAUAAAGAGUUUGACAAGGACCAGAUCACAAAGGGACAUAAAUGUCAUGAAAUCAACCCAAGGAGGCACUAGUGAGGCAAACAGGCCUUUUGAUACACUGAAAGACCCUUCGGAAAGAUAUUUCAUCUUACGUCACUCAGAAUUCAUUCAGGUAUGUGGCAAAUCACUCGACCUCCAGUGAACUCAUUUAUAAUGGGUUGAAAAUAUCCAAAGAUGGGAAGACUGCCGGGAAGAUAGCAGGAGAUGCUAGCGCCACUUUAUCGUUGUAAUUUCAAAGCAUAAUAGCUCAGAAGUUUUUAUUAAGAACAAGAAUAAGAAUAAACAGAAGGACUUUUUCUCUCCUUCAUAAACAG